CGCCCCAGCCCAGCGGCGCCUGUGCUGUCUCCAGGCCGCCGCUCAGCAGCCUGUAAAUGCAAGAGCGCUGCUGCUCCUGUAAACACAGUCUGAUUAUGAGUGUGACAGGCUGUGCUCAGGGAACCAUAGCGCUCCGGAGCUGUUUGGGAGAUUUUCUCCUGCCAUAGGCACUGUUCCCAUGGGGAGAUGGCUGUUCAUUACCUGACCAGUGCACAAGAAUAGUUCACCAUGGAGCAGGAACAGAGAAGACUCUGAGAUAAAGAUUUUCAACACUUCAGGGAAAGGAUUUAGGGCAUUUAUUGCCUUAACAGUUUGACUGAAACCCAUUCAUGGUUUGACAGUGAUGUGCUGGUAAAAUGUUCUUUCACCUCCUUAGCCACUUCUCUAGCACAGAACCAAAUAUGUAAAAAAGCUGGGAAAUACUUUUUGAAAGUCACUUUUUCCACUAGAAGAUAUAUCAGCUUGAAGCCUUCCACCUGAGGCAAACUGAGUUUCUACAAGCCUGGGUUUGUUUCAGUGCUCAGCUGCAACACCCAGCCUGCCAAAAGUGUCUCUGAGGUGAAACACCACAGUUGCCGCCUUUAGCCCAGCAGCAAGGGUCAGACGAGCCAGGGCACAAUCUACCUGGUAAUAUUGGGAUCAUAUUCCAAUAUUUUGGCGCCCAACCUGGGGCAGAGUGACUCUGCAGCCCCAAGAGGAGCCUCAGUACCUUGGAAAGACUUCAGCAGCUGAGCAUCCAGCUGAAAGAGCUCUGACUGCAUUGCUCUCAGCAGAGACUUUGGGAAUAACCCACAAAAAGCCUUGUGAACUGUUCGGCACCUUUGGAAUAUACAUCACAGCAUUAAAGUCCUGGUUGUAGACAAAAUUAAAAACACUAUAACACUAUAAAGAGGCAAAGUUGCAGGUGAUUCCAGUAACAAAAAAAAAAAAAAAAA